UUUUUGAACUUCCAUCCUGGACCUCAGCUCAGGCGUGACUACCCGCUGAAUUUAAGCAUAUCAAUCAAGCGGAGGAAAAGAAACUAACCAGG
rnacentral:rRNA from 1 species